rnacentral:sRNA from 1 species
AGGGCCGAGCCGUUUCUCGUUGGCUGGCGAUGGGGGGCUCACAAUUGCCUGUUGCAUUCUGAAGGACGUUUCUCAAGUUUUUUUUUUUUUUUUUGCCUGGUCCCGGAAGGAAGGUUUUGUUAUGAUCAUAAAACUGGAUUUCAUGUUGCAGUCAUUUCGUCAGGCAACUUCCGCCGUUGACCAAUUUGUUGUCCUCAGGCUGGAAUCGGGCAAGAGAAAGUCCCGCUGGUAUUUAGACAGUUUCUAAAACAAAAGCACAUUUUCAGGCCGGGUUCAGGAACAAGUGCAUCCCACUCUCUCAGCUAAUGAAGAGUCUCUCUAUUAUAUUGAAGAGCUGAUUUUUCAGCUGCUUAAUAAAUUAUGCAUGGCCCAGCCAAGGACUGUUCAAGAUGUAGAGGAGCGAGUUCAGAAGACCUUUCCUCACCCAAUUGAUAAAUGGGCCAUUGCUGAUGCACAAUCUGCUAUAGAAAAACGAAAACGAAGAAAUCCUCUUUUACUGCCUGUGGACAAAAUCCAUCCUUCGUUGAAGGAAGUAUUAGGGUACAAAGUGGACUACCAUGUGUCCCUAUAUAUUGUGGCUGUACUAGAGUAUAUCUCAGCUGAUAUUUUAAAAUUGGCUGGUAAUUAUGUUUUUAAUAUCCGGCAUUAUGAAAUAUCUCAGCAGGACAUUAAAGUGUCAAUGUG